GUCCAGACUCCUACGGGAGGCAGCAGUGGGGGAUAUUGCACAAUGGGGGGAACCCUGAUGCAGCGACGCCGCGUGGGUGAAGGAGUGCUUCGGCAUGUAAAGCCCUAUCGGCAGGGAAGAAGCAAGACGGUACCUGACUAAGAAGCCCCGGCUGACUACGUGCCAGCAGCCGCGGUAAUACGUAGGGGGCAAGCGUUAUCCGGAUUUACUGGGUGUAAAGGGAGCGUAGACGGCAGUGCAAGUCCGGAGUGAAAGCCCGGGGCUCAACCCUGGGACUGCUCUGGAAACUGUAAAGCUGGAGUGCGGGAGGGGCAGGCGGAAUUCCUGGUGUAGCGGUGAAAUGCGUAGAUAUCAGGAGGAACACCGGCGGCGAAGGCGGCCUGCUGGACCGUAACUGACGUUGAGGCUCGAAAGCGUGGGGAGCAAACAGGAUUAGAUACCCUAGUA
rnacentral:rRNA from 1 species